rnacentral:misc_RNA from 1 species
UAAUAAGUGUUUUUAUGGCACUUUUUUAAAUCCAUAUCCACCUUGUGUGGCAAUGUCAGUCGAUCUUCUUCAUGGAGAUCGACCAAACAUCAAACCUUUAUCUUUUUAACUCUUUGUCUGAAAAAAUAUUAUGAAUAAACAAUUCAAAAUA